rnacentral:rRNA from 2 species
CCCAAGUAGCACGGGGCCCGAGAAAUCCCGUGUGAAUCUGGCGGGACCACCCGCUAAGCCUAAAUAUUCCCUGGUGACCGAUAGCGGAUAGUACCGUGAGGGAAUGGUGAAAAGUACCGCGGGAGCGGAGUGAAAUAGUACCUGAAACCGUGUGCCUACAAGCCGUGGGAGCGUCGCGCAGAGACUUGUCUCUGCGUCGUGACUGCGUGCCUUUUGAAGAAUGAGCCUGCGAGUUUGCGGUGUGUUGCGAGGUUAACCCGUGUGGGGAAGCCGUAGCGAAAGCGAGUCCGAAUAGGGCGGUUUAGUAGCGCGCUCAAGACCCGAAGCGGAGUGAUCUAGCCAUGGGCAGGUUGAAGCGGAGGUAAGACUUCGUGGAGGACCGAACCCACCAGGGUUGAAAACCUGGGGGAUGACCUGUGGUUAGGGGUGAAAGGCCAAUCAAACUCCGUGAUAGCUGGUUCUCCCCGAAAUGCAUUUAGGUGCAGCGUCGUGUGUUUCUUACUGGAGGUAGAGCACUGGAUAGGCGAUGGGCCCUACCGGGUUACUGACCUUAGCCAAACUCCGAAUGCCGGUAAGUGAGAGCGCGGCAGUGAGACUGUGGGGGAUAAGCUCCAUGGUCGAGAGGGAAACAGCCCAGAGCAUCGACUAAGGCCCCUAAGCGUAUGCUAAGUGGGAAAGGAUGUGGAGUCGCAGAGACAACCAGGAGGUUGGCUUAGAAGCAGCCAUCCUUGAAAGAGUGCGUAAUAGCUCACUGGUCAAGUGAUUCCGCGCCGACAAUGUAGCGGGGCUCAAGCGUACCGCCGAAGUCGUGUCACU